AACGAACGCUGGCGGCAUGCCUAACACAUGCAAGUCGAACGAAGCCUUCGGGCUUAGUGGCGCACGGGUGCGUACGCGUGGGAAUCUGCCCCUUGCUUCGGAAUAACAGUUAGAAAUGACUGCUAAUACCGGAUGAUGUCUUCGGACCAAAGAUUUAUCGGCAAGGGGUGAGCCCGCGUAGGAUUAGGUAGUUGGUGGGGUAAAGGCCUACCAAGCCGACGAUCCUUAGCUGGUCUGAGAGGAUGAUCAGCCACACUGGGACUGAGACACGGCCCAGACUCCUACGGGAGGCAGCAGUGGGGAAUAUUGGACAAUGGGGGGAACCCUGAUCCAGCAAUGCCGCGUGAGUGAUGAAGGCCUUAGGGUUGUAAAGCUCUUUUACCAGGGAUGAUAAUGACAGUACCUGGAGAAUAAGCUCCGGCUAACUCCGUGCCAGCCGCCGCCGUAACAC
rnacentral:rRNA from 1 species